AGUGAACGCUGGCGGUAGGCCUAACACAUGCAAGUCGAACGGCAGCACAGUAAGAGCUUGCUCUUACGGGUGGCGAGUGGCGGACGGGUGAGGAAUACAUCGGAAUCUACUUUUUCGUGGGGGAUAACGUAGGGAAACUUACGCUAAUACCGCAUACGACCUACGGGUGAAAGCAGGGGAUCUUCGGACCUUGCGCGAUUGAAUGAGCCGAUGUCGGAUUAGCUAGUUGGCGGGGUAAAGGCCCACCAAGGCGACGAUCCGUAGCUGGUCUGAGAGGAUGAUCAGCCACACUAGAACUGAGACACGGUCCAGACUCCUACGGGAGGCAGCAGUGGGGAAUAUUGGACAAUGGGCGCAAGCCUGAUCCAGCCAUACCGCGUGGGUGAAGAAGGUCUUCGGGUUGUAAAGCCCUUUUGUUGGGAAAGAAAAGCAGCAGGUUAAUACCCCGCUGUUCUGACGGUACCCAAAGAAUAAGCACCGGCUAACUUCGUG
rnacentral:rRNA from 1 species